AUACGGAGGAUCCGAGCGUUAUCCGGAUUUAUUGGGUUUAAAGGGAGCGUAGGUGGAUUGUUAAGUCAGUUGUGAAAGUUUGCGGCUCAACCGUAAAAUUGCAGUUGAAACUGGCAGUCUUGAGUACAGUAGAGGUGGGCGGAAUUCGUGGUGUAGCGGUGAAAUGCUUAGAUAUCACGAAGAACUCCGAUUGCGAAGGCAGCUCACUAGACUGCAACUGACACUGAUGCUCGAAAGUGUGGGUAUCAAACAGGAUUAGAUACCCUGGUAGUCCACACAGUAAACGAUGAAUACUCGCUGUUUGCGAUAUACAGUAAGCGGCCAAGCGAAAGCAUUAAGUAUUCCACCUGGGGAGUACGCCGGCAACGGUGAAACUCAAAGGAAUUGGCGGGG
rnacentral:rRNA from 1 species